rnacentral:rRNA from 1 species
GUGGGGAAUAUUGGACAAUGGGCGCAAGCCUGAUCCAGCCAUACCGCGUGGGUGAAGAAGGCCUUCGGGUUGUAAAGCCCUUUUGUUGGGAAAGAAAUCCUGUCGAUUAAUACUCGGUGGGGAUGACGGUACCCAAAGAAUAAGCACCGGCUAACUUCGUGCCAGCAGCCGCGGUAAUACGAAGGGUGCAAGCGUUACUCGGAAUUACUGGGCGUAAAGCGUGCGUAGGUGGUGGUUUAAGUCUGCUGUGAAAGCCCUGGGCUCAACCUGGGAAUUGCAGUGGAUACUGGAUCACUAGAGUGUGGUAGAGGGAUGCGGAAUUUCUGGUGUAGCAGUGAAAUGCGUAGAGAUCAGAAGGAACAUCCGUGGCGAAGGCGGCAUCCUGGGCCUGCACUGACGCUCAUGCACGAAAGCGUGGGGAGCAAACAGGAUUAGAAACCCCUGUAGUCC